AUUGAACGCUGGCGGCAUGCUUUACACAUGCAAGUCGAACGGUAACUGGCCUUCGGGUGCUGACGAGUGGCGAACGGGUGAGUAAUGCAUCGGAACGUACCCAGAGGUGGGGGAUAACGCAGCGAAAGCUGUGCUAAUACCGCAUGUGAUCUGAGGAUGAAAGCGGGGGACCGAGCAGCAAUGUUUGGCCUCGCGCCUUUGGAGCGGCCGAUGUCGGAUUAGCUAGUUGGUGGGGUAAAGGCCUACCAAGGCGACGAUCCGUAGCUGGUCUGAGAGGACGACCAGCCACACUGGGACUGAGACACGGCCCAGACUCCUACGGGAGGCAGCAGUGGGGAAUUUUGGACAAUGGGCGCGAGCCUGAUCCAGCAAUGCCGCGUGCGGGAAGAAGGCCUUCGGGUUGUAAACCGCUUUUGGCAGGAACGAAACGGUGUCCGCUAAUACCGGGCGCUAAUGACGGUACCUGCAGAAUAAGCACCGGCUAACUACGUG
rnacentral:rRNA from 1 species